GACGAACGCUGGCGGCGUGCUUAACACAUGCAAGUCGAACGGAAAGGCCCUGCUUUUGUGGGGUGCUCGAGUGGCGAACGGGUGAGUAACACGUGAGUAACCUGCCCUUGACUUUGGGAUAACUUCAGGAAACUGGGGCUAAUACCGGAUAGGAGCUCCUGCUGCAUGGUGGGGGUUGGAAAGUUUCGGCGGUUGGGGAUGGACUCGCGGCUUAUCAGCUUGUUGGUGGGGUAGUGGCUUACCAAGGCUUUGACGGGUAGCCGGCCUGAGAGGGUGACCGGCCAAAUUGGGAAUUAGAUAAGGCCCAGAAUCCUACGGGAGGCAGGAGUGGGGAAUAAUGGAAAAUGGGCGGAAGCCUGAUGCAGCAACGCCGCGUGCGGGAUGAAGGCCUUCGGGUUGGAAACCGCUUUCGCCUGGGAAGAAGCGUGAGGGAAGGGAAUGGGUAAAGAAGCACCGGCUAACUACGUG
rnacentral:rRNA from 1 species